UCCUCUGCUGGUCUCCUCGAUUUCGCCCUCUCUCGUUUCCUCCCCCGAGUGGCGGCUAGGGUUACCGCAGUCGCCGCCCAAUCCCUGCUCCUAGCUUCGGCCCCCACACACAUCUCCUACUUCUCUCCCUCUCUCCCUCGCCUCCAGGCACGCACAGGCAACCGCUCAAGAUGAGCAACAACGACUGGAUGCGGCCGCCGGAGGAGCAGCGGUGGCCGACGGGCUCGUGGCAGCAACGACUGCAGAGAGCUGCGGCACCGAACUGCGCGGCUCCGAUUCUGCAUCGACGCCUCCUUCCUCCGUCGCCUAGAUAUAAGGCGGUUCUCUCCUAGCCAACCUCCAGCCAUGCCUCUUCCUCUCCUCUUUGACCGGCUCUCUCCUCCUCUGGAGAAGUAGCACAUGGCGGAGCUGCAUCUGAUCCGCUGCCGACGGCGCACGUCUCAGCCCCAAGCCCGGGCUGUUUGAAGCAAUUGCUAUUAAGGUCACCGUCAGACUAUCAGAUCUCUAGGAGGUGGUGUCGGGUGGUGAUGUCAGGUGGGCAAGGCCAGCUGCUGAUGUGAAGAAGACGAACACGCAGGAGCGGGUCAAGCCACUUACUGAUCCCUACAUCUCAUUAUACUCUGCUCACAAGGCGUUCGACAGAUUGCAUCGUAUGUUCUUUUUUCACCAUUUUCUCAUAAUAUCAAUUGGAGUCUGACAUUUUCCCUUCAUAUAUAUGGUGACUGAUACAAGGGCAUGCUAAUUAUUUUUUACUUAUUUCGAUUUGACGGUCUUGUCUAAUUGCUUGAUGGAGUGAUAGUGUCAUUUCUCUGUUUCUCAUAUCAAUUUAUCCAGUUUGAUUUGCGAUCAGAAAAUAGAACCACUGGGAUUAGAUUGUGUACGUGGUUUUGACUUCAGGCCUUUAUCCUGUAGAGAUCAGAUAGGGAACCAGGAAUUUUCAAUAAUCUUCUUCUCUACUAAUACUCCUACGAAUCAGUGAUGAAGUUUGUAGGUGUGAUAACAUAAUGAAACUAUCUGAUAGUAACAGGAGGUGUUUAGCAGGAACCACAUCAGCAGGAACCAUCGCAGUGACCUUGUUGCAGUAGUUUCUUAGGUAUGCUGUAUAGGUUUAGUUAAGGUAUAAUCAGCCUGGUCAUCAAACGGCUCAAGUUCUUGGUUCAGUGAGUGACCUGUUCAACCAGGGAUUACUUCUCAGUACUGGCGGUUUAAAUUUGAAAGGCCGCUAGACCCUCGUAAGUAUUUUUAUGGUACAUAUUUUCAUCUCAAGUACAGUCAGGGGUAAUCGAAUACGGAGUACAUACUGCCAAUAAGCAAAAUCCACCAGCAAUAGGUCAUUCAGGAUUAGGUUUGGUACUUUAUAGCUGAAUAUGUGAUGUGCUUAGAAAAGAUUGCAACACACCAUACUCUAGGGAGGCACUUCAGACUAGUGGUACAUAUUUAUUGUACUCUUGGUGUUAUUAUUUUUGAAUCAUUUACCUGCCUCUUAUCUUUCUACAUAGAGUAUGGUGAUGUACAGAGCUCUUGAUACAUUUCAAUAAAUAUUUUACUAGAUACAUUGCCGUAGGCGCUAAAAUACUAUAGCUAGACAUGGAUUGGACAGGAAUUCUGCAGCAUUUGCUUCAAUGUCUUUGCAGAUCCUGGGUAGCGUGGAUUCAGUUCAUGAUAAUACAUUUGUCCGCACCCAGACUGAAACUAAUGUUAAGGAGUUUGUGACACUAUGUCAAAUAACACGUAAGAGUAAUUAUUGGCAUUCGAUAUUAAAUCUAUCUCAUUUAUUUCUUUGCAUACUUUUGAAUUGUGUUUUCUCUUAAAGGAAACAGUCUUUUGCUGGAUGACUAAUUUAUGUAUUCCUGUUGACCAGAAUUUUGUUGGCCUUUCUAUUUCUGAUGGGUACAUUGCUAACGAGAUUUUUUUUUAUGUUUGAUGAACCUCCUAAAGCUAAAAGAAAAGAAAAAGUUGUUCAUAGUGAAGAGAUUUGAUUGGUUGCUUCUGUAUAUAAACAUGCGGGAUACAGUUCUACCAAGAAUCAAGCUUUAGCUCAAGGAUAUGGUGUGUAUUGUGCACUCCUAGCUUAAGAAUAUACAAAGCAUUCGGAACUACCAUUCCCUACUAAAAAUGAAAAUUUAAACUAUCAUGACAUUUAUGCGUUGUGGUGAUGUGCAUGUGAUUUUGAUUUGCAUAUUAGAUAGUUGGGCUUUUCUUACAUCUUGAUAUUUGGUGUGUUGUUGUGGCCACGAAGAAGAUGCAGUAGCAUGCUGGGAGCGAUAAGUUGUGUGUGUGGCACACACUGGAUUUUGCCGACUAUGAAUUUAAGGAGAUGUUCGCCAUCCGCUUUGGAUCUGGGAGAGUGAGCAUUGAGUACCCUAUAAUUUGUGCAGUUUUAAUGAAGGACAGCUGGAGCUUAUUCAUUUUGAAUCGUUGACGCAUGAUUUGCUUGAGACAAAUCAAGCUGACGAGAUCUGCAAAUGGAUUUGAAGGAAAGAUUUAGAAGGUGAAGGAGCUGAUGAAGAGCAUGCUACAUUCUCACUGUCUUAAUCAUUUUUUUCAUGUACAAUGCAAUACAUGUAUAAGUUUGGUGCUUUGUGCUGACAAGAAUUUUCUGAUUGGCAUCAUUUGUAGUAACUGUGAUGAUCCAGGACGCUCUCAAGAUUACAAGUUCAGUAGUGGCAACCUGGACUUGUGUAAGAAUAAACUGAAUGAUGUUUCAUUCUGAAGAGAUUCCUUACUAUCGACUUGAA